AUUGAACGCUGGCGGAAUGCUUUACACAUGCAAGUCGAACGGCAGCACGGGGCAACCUGGUGGCGAGUGGCGAACGGGUGAGUAAUACAUCGGAACGUGCCCAAUCGUGGGGGAUAACGUAGCGAAAGUUACGCUAAUACCGCAUACGAUCUACGGAUGAAAGCGGGGGAUCGCAAGACCUCGCGCGAAUGGAGCGGCCGAUGUCAGAUUAGGUAGUUGGUGGGUAAAGGCUCACCAAGCCGACGAUCUGUAGCUGGUCUGAGAGGACGACCAGCCACACUGGGACUGAGACACGGCCCAGACUCCUACGGGAGGCAGCAGUGGGGAAUUUUGGACAAUGGGCGCAAGCCUGAUCCAGCCAUUCCGCGUGCAGGAUGAAGGCCU
rnacentral:rRNA from 1 species